ACGCUCGACACCUACUGGAGGCAGCAGUGGGGAAUAUUGCACAAUGGGGGAAACCCGUGAUGCAGCGACGCCGCGUGGAGGAAGAAGGUCUUCGGAUUGUAAACUCCUGUUGUUGGGGAAAAAGAGGAUGGUACCCAACAAGGAAGUGACGGCUAACUACGUGCCACAGCCGCGGUAAUCUGAGCGGGCGUGGCAAGGC
rnacentral:rRNA from 1 species